AAGCACUUACCUAGCAUUCCACGCCGUUCAAAGCCUAGCCUGUUUUUGAUCUCUCUCCGCUGCCUCCUCCGUUUGAUAUCUCCGCGCUUAGGGUUUACCUGGUUGCUCCGUCUCCUCCUCCUCCUCCUCCUCGCCUUUUUGAUCUCCUCCGUCUUCACUUUCUUCUUCCGCAGCCCUCCAGUCUUGCAUCAUGCUCUCCCUCCCUUCUUCAUCAAUCCGGGAGAGAAGCCUUGGGCAGAGCGGGCAAACGCCUUUUCCGGCCAUGGCAUAUCUAAACAUGGGCGAGGCACACCGCCGCAUCACGGACUACCUUUUUCGGUUUUGUGAUGUCGUCUCGUCCUAGAAUGCCACUACCCUCUCCGCCAUCUCCUCCAACUUCGCGUCCCUCCAAGCUCCUGCAAACGCCCUCAAUGUCUUCUAGGAUUCAAAUCAGUUGGUGAACCAGGCGGAGAGGUACGCCUAGUUUGUAGAAAUUCUCUCCCCCCUUCUCCGCUGUCUCCAAAGUUACCGACUUGGCCAAUACUUCGACUCAUAUGUUGCCUUUGAGAAGGCUGCAAAUGCUUUCUUACAGGAAUUUCGAAACUGGGAGACUGCAUGGGCUAUGGAAGCUGUGUAUAUUUUGGCUCUUGAAAUUCGGUUGCUUGCGGAGAAUGUAUGUCGUUGUACCAGAAGAGGGAUAUGAUAUUUUUUUUUUUUGUAUGUUCUUCUGGAAUUAAUUCAAAUGUGGACUUUACU